CCACCCGACUCGGUCUUGAGUCAAUCAAUCGCGGAUAGUCCGCGCACUAUCUAGCUCGAGGUGAAGGAACUCUCACAUGCACCUCAGCUGGCAACAGCUCACCGUACUCCUGUCCUAGCCGUCUGGUGGCAAACAAUCGCACCUCACCCAACAACGGCCUAGGUAAAUGACUUAGCCACCCGGCGGCGAAAUCGUCGCACAACGCCACGACAGUGGUUCAGUCAACAGGCGGUAGGAUCCACAAACUGGCUAACCAUCCGGCGGCAAAAUCAUCGCACACGCCACAACAAUGGUUCUUUAGCCCUUGGGCGGCGAAAUCGUCGCACACACCCGACACCCCUUUGGGUGUAUCAACAAGCUUUGAGAUUCCGGAAUCUAUUUCACAUUACUCGAGGGUUAGUCUUAACCCUAUGGAAUCGACCUAUCUAGGUCCAAGUCUUUACUCGACCUAAUUUAACACUUUAGGUUCGAUUCUUUUAUAUUCUUAGCCUAGGUUUAUUAUCCCUAGGACCAUCAUUCUUUCCAACCUAGGUUCACUUGACUCUAGGUUAAACACUUUUCAUUUCACUACCUAUAUUCUUUACAUUAGGUUUAACAUCAUUCUUAUUUAACCUAUGUUUAAUAACACUAGGUUCAUUUCAUAUUCAACCUAUGUUUAAUAACAUUAGGUUCAUUUCAUAUUCAACCUAUGUUUAAUAACAUUAGGUUCAUGCCACUCGAUCUAUACAAUGUCCAACCUAGGUUCAAUAACUUAGGUUCAUGCCACUCGAUAUAUAUAUGUCUUCCUAGAUAUUCUUUUCUAGGUUCACAGUUUACAUAUUCAUAUAUUCUCAUUUAUCUUGUUACCAUCGAGGUUUCUAAUCAACUAGAAGUGUCGAUAUUCAUACAACCUGAACUAUAGUACAUUCAUUUUCAUAUAUGUUUAGACGUAGGCAUCAAACAUUCACUUUCAUAAGCAUUUAACACUAACUUUCUUUAACACUAACUUUCACGUAUCAACAAUUAUAUAUGCUUUAGCAUUUAUGUUCGCAUUUCGACAAUUAUAUUCAUAUGCAUCUAGCAUUCAUGUUCAUAUAAUAAUCAUUAUAAAUCAUCUAGCAUCAACCAUCUUAUGUCAACAAUCAUAUAUGCCUACUCAUAUGCGUCUAGCAUUUAUGUUCGCAUUUCGACAAUCAUAUUCAUAUAUGCGUCAAUGAAACCAUAUUUUUCUUUGGCAUGGAAGUGACCUAAUCACUUCGGUAAACACAACCCACC
rnacentral:lncRNA from 1 species